CGGAUUGUAGUCUGCAACCCGGCUACAUGAAGCUGGAAUCGCUAGUAAUCGCAGAUCAGAAUGCUGCGGUGAAUACGUUCCCGGGUCUUGUACACACCGCCCGUCACACCAUGGGAGUCGGAAAUGCCCGAAGUCGGUGACCCAACCGUUUAUGGAGGGAGCUGCCGAAGGCAGGUCUGGUGACUGGGGUGAAGUCGUAACAAGGUAUC
rnacentral:rRNA from 1 species